ACAGUAGAAUAGAAUACAGUAUAUACAUGUAUAUGAAAUGAGUAAAGCAGUAUGUAGACAUGAUUAAAAUGACCAGUGUUCCAUGUAGGGCAGCAAAUAGCGGUCAAACAAGGAAAUGGUUUCCAUCAUUUCUUCACCAUUCAUUCUUCCCGUAGGGGAUUCUUCCCAUAGGGGAUUCUUCCCAUAGGGGAUUCUUCUUCUUCCCAUAGGGGAUUCUUCCCAUAGGGGAUUCUUCUUCUUCCCAUAGGGGAUUCUUCUUCUUCCCAUAGGGGAUUUUUCUUCUUCCCAUAGGGGAUUCUUCCCAUAGGGGAUUCUUCUUCUUCCCAUAGGGGAUUCUUCUUCUUCCCAUAGGGGAUUCUUCCCAUAGGGGAUUCUUCCCAUAGGGGAUUCUUCUUCUUCCCAUAGGGGAUUCUUCUUCUUCCCAUAGGGGAUUCUUCCCAUAGGGGAUUCUUCUUCUUCCCAUAGGGGAUUCUUCUUCUUCCCAUAGGGAUUCUUCUUCCCAUAGGGGAUUCUUCCCAUAGGGGAUUCUUCCCAUAGGGGAUUCUUCUUCUUCCCAUAGGGGAUUCUUCCCACAGGGGAUUCUUCCCAUAGGGGAUUCUUCCCACAGGGGAUUCUUCCCAUAGGGGAUUCUUCCCACAGGGGAUUCUUCCCAUAGGGGAUUUUUCCCAUAGGUUAUUUUCCCCAUAGGUUAUUUUUCCCAUAGGUUAUUUUUCCCAUAGGGCGUGACAUUUUGAUAACCGUGUAAGUCUCUAGGACAAGGUGAAGGUGUCAGUUAGAGAUGAAGGUGUCAGCUAGAGAUGAAGGUGUCAGCUCAAGAUCAAGGUGUCAGCUAGAGAUGAAGGUGUCAGUUAGAGAUGAAGGUAUCAGCUAGAGAUGAAGGUGUCAGCAUGAGAUGAAGGUGUCAGCUCGAGAUGAAGGUAACAGCUAGAGAUGAAGAUGUCAGCGAGAGAUGGUGUCAGCUCGAGAUGAAGGUGUCAGCUAGAGAUGAAGGUGUCAGCUAGAGAUGAAGGUGUCAGCUAGAGAUGAAGGUGUCAGCUCAAGAUCAAGGUGUCAGCUAGAGAUGAAGGUGUCAGUUAGAGAUGAAGGUAUCAGCUAGAGAUGAAGGUGUCAGCAUGAGAUGAAGGUGUCAGCUCGAGAUGAAGGUAACAGCUAGAGAUGAAGAUGUCAGCGAGAGAUGGUGUCAGCUCGAGAUGAAGGUGUCAGCUAGAGAUGAA